AUUGAACGCUGGCGGCAGGCCUACCACAUGCAAGUCGAGCGAGCGGCGGACGGGUGAGUAAUGUCUGGGAAACUGCCUGAUGGAGGGGGAUAACUACUGGAAACGGUAGCUAAUACCGCAUACCAUCAGAUGUGCCCAGAUGGGAUUAGCUAGUAGGUGGGGUAACGGCUCACCUGGGGGACGAUCCCUAGCUGGUCUGAGAGGAUUACCAGCCACACUGGAACGGAGACACGGUCCAGACUCCGAAGGGAGGCAGCAGUGGGGAAGAUUGAACAAUGGGCGCAAGCCUGAUGCAGCCAUGCCGCGUGUGUGAAGAAGGCCUUCGGGUUGUAAAGCACUUUCAGCAGGGAGGCGUUACCCGCAGAAGAAGCACCGGCUAACUCCGUGCCAGCAGCCGCAGUAAUAC
rnacentral:rRNA from 1 species